AUAAACCCCUAACGAAGGGGACCUGUCCAGCCGGUUUGGGACUUUCUGCUCCACGAGGCGUGGAACUGGAAAUACUCGCUCCAAAAAUCGAGUAGCAGCAACAGUAAGAAUGGAGCGUUUCCGCCGGAGAGACAGACAGAUGUUUUCUGGGUUUACGAAGGGCGAGAUAGAGAAAAUGGAGAAAUUGCUAAAGGAAUCAGGAUUACAGUUGCUUAAUCGAGAAUUUUGUCGAAAAGUUACCCAAGGUUUCAAUCGGUCUUCUGGUCGUGCUGGGAAGCCUGUAAUAAAGUGGAUGGAGGUAUACAAUUGGCUCCAAAGUAGGCUGCAAGACUUCCCGAAAAAUGAAAAGAGGAUGUCUGAAAUUCCCAAAGCUUGCCCUUCAAAUAAGACUCAGGAAAGUUCUCAACGCCCCGAAGGUGAUAAGAGCCCAGAUUUAUCAGAAUUGGAAUUUGAAGCAAGGUCAUCAAAAGAUGGUGCAUGGUAUGAUGUUGCUAUGUUCCUUACGCAUAGAUUUCUUAGGUCAGGCGAAGCUGAAGCGCGUGUCAGAUUUGUUGGAUUCGGAGCCGAGGAAGACGAAUGGGUCAACAUAAAACAGGCAGUACGGGUACGCUCUGUCCCUCUAGAACAUUCAGAGUGUCAAAAGUUGAAGGUUGGGGACAGUGUACUCUGCUUCCAGAUAUUAAAUUUUUCAGGAGAGGAGAGAUCAGGCAAUCUACUAUGAUGCACAUAUUGUGGAAGUCCAGAGGAGAAUGCAUGACAUUAGGGGCUGCAGGUGUCUUUUCUUGGUUCGUUACUAUCACGAUAGCACCGAGGAAAAAGUUCGUUUGAGAAGAUUAUGUCACAGACCGGCACAUCAAUUCUAAGCUGGAGAUAUGAAUGGUUUGCCUCAGAAACUACAUUGGGUAAUGCUAAUUUUGUAUGUUCUUUCAAAAAGGUGAGGACAUGUUCUGGGUAAAAAUAAUGGGCCUAAUUGAGGGAGAAUGGUCCAUAGCUACUAAUGUAAGUUUUGAACAUAAUAUAGUGCAUGUUUAGUAGGAGAA